rnacentral:misc_RNA from 1 species
GGGGAACCUGCGGCUGGAUCACCUCCUUUCUGGAAUGCCGAGUAAGGCUGCAGGUCACGCAGGUCAGCAAUGAUCUUCGCAGACGGUGGUCGUGAAAGGCUUCUUGAGUCGCCCGCACUUCUCUUUUCCUCACUGAUCUUUUUCUUGAGUAAUGCCACGAUCUGCGUUGAUCGUUCAUUCGAUCAGCGUGAUCAGUGGCUACGCUCUUUGACAACUGACGGAAUGCAUGGAUGGAAAUUGGAGUCGAGGAAAUCACCGAAGCACAAAGUUUGAGAUCAAGCACAAAACGGCGCAC